rnacentral:rRNA from 1 species
UACGGAGGGGGCAAGCGUUGUUCGGAAUUACUGGGCGUAAAGGGCGCGCAGGCGGCUGCUCAAGUCAGGCGUGAAAGGCCUGGGCUCAACCCGGGAAUUGCGCUUGAGACUGGGAUGGCUUGAGUGCGGGAGAGGAUGGUGGAAUUCCCAGUGUAGAGGUGAAAUUCGUAGAUAUUGGGAAGAACACCGGUGGCGAAGGCGGCCAUCUGGACCGAAACUGACGCUGAGGCGCGAAAGCGUGGGGAGCAAACAGG